GGGCGAUUAGCUCAGUUGGUUAGAGCAACGGUUUUACACACCGUAGGUCGGGGGUUCGAAUCCCUCAUCGCCCA
rnacentral:tRNA from 1 species